rnacentral:rRNA from 1 species
AUUGAACGCUGGCGGCAGGCCUAACACAUGCCAGUCGAGCGGAUGAAGGGAGCUUGCUCCUGGAUUCAGCGGCGGACGGGUGAGUAAUGCCUAGGAAUCUGCCUGGUAGUGGGGGAUAACGUCUGGAAACGGGCGCUAAUACCGCAUACGUCCUGAGGGAGAAAGAGGGGGAUCUUCGGACCUCACGCUAUCAGAUGAGCCUAGGUCGGAUUAGCUAGUUGGUGGGGUAAAGGCCUACCAAGGCGACGAUCCGUAACUGGUCGGAGAGGAUGAUCAGUCACACUGGAACUGGGACAGGGUCCAGACUCCUCAGGGGGGCAGCAGUGGGGAAUAUUGGACAAUGGGCGAAAGCCUGAUCCAGCCAUGCCGCGUGUGUGAAGAGGGUCUUCGGAUUGUAAAGCACUUUAAGUUGGGAGGAAGGGCAGUAAGUUAAUACCUUGCUGUUUUGACGUUACCAACAGAAUAAGCACCGGCUAACUUCGUG